GCAGUCGAGGGGCAGCGUGGAGCAGCAAUGCUCUGACGGCGACCGGCGGAAGGGUGCGUAACACGUGAGCGACUUGCCCGUCACAGGGGGAUAACCGGCGGAAACGGCGACUAAUACCCCAUAUGAUGCGAUGCUGCAUGGCAUUGCAUUGAAAGAUUCAUCGGUGGCGGAUAGGCUCGCGGGACAUUAGCUAGACGGCGGGGCAACGGCCCACCGUGGCGACGAUGUCUAGGGGUUCUGAGAGGAAGACCCCCCACACUGGGACUGAGACACGGCCCAGACUCCUACGGGAGGCAGCAGUGAGGAAUAUUGGUCAAUGGGCGGAAGCCUGAACCAGCCAUGCCGCGUGAAGGACUAAGGCCCUACGGGUCGUAAACUUCUUUAGACGCAGAGCAAUAAGGUCCACGCGUGGACCGAUGAGAGUAUGCGUAGAAUAAGCAUCGGCUAACUCCGUGCCAGCAGCCGCGGUAAUACGGGGGAUGCGAGCGUUAUCCGGAUUCAUUGGGUUUAAAGGGUGC
rnacentral:rRNA from 1 species